rnacentral:rRNA from 1 species
CCUACGGGAGGCAGCAGUGGGGAAUAUUGCACAAUGGGGGAAACCCUGAUGCAGCGACGCCGCGUGAGUGAAGAAGUAAUUCGUUAUGUAAAGCUCUAUCAGCAGGGAAGAAAAUGACGGUACCUGAGUAAGAAGCCCUUGCUAACUACGUGCCAGCAGCCGCGGUAAUACGUAGGGGGCAAGCGUUAUCUGGAUUUACUGGGUGUAAAGGGAGCGUAGACGGCAGGGCAAGUAUGGAGUGAAAGGCGGGGGCUCAACCCCCGGACUGCUCUGGAGACUGGAAGGCUGGAGUGCAGGAGAGGUAGGUAGAAUUCCAGGUGUAGCGGUGAAAUGCGUAGAUAUUAGGAGGAACACCAGUGGCGAAGGCGGCUUACUGGAC